rnacentral:rRNA from 1 species
GACGAACGCUGGCGGCGUGCUUAACACAUGCAAGUCGAACGGAAAGGCCCUGCUUUUGUGGGGUUCUCGAGUGGCGAACGGGUGAGUAACACGUGAGUAACCUGCCCUUGACUUUGGGAUAACUUCAGGAAACUGGGGCUAAUACCGGAUAGGAUCUCCUGCUGCAUGGUGGGGGUUGGAAAUUUUCGGCGGUUGGGGAUGGACUCGCGGCUUAUCAGCUUGUUGGUUGGGUAGUGGCUUACCAAGGCUUUGACGGGUAGCCGGCCUGGGAGGGUGACCGGCCACAUUGGGACUGAGAUACGGACCAGAAUCCAACGGGAGGCAGCAGUGGGGAAUAUUGCACAAUGGGCGGAAGCCUGAUGCAGCAACGCCGCGUGCGGGAUGACGGCCUUCGGGUUGUAAACCGCUUUCGGCUGUGACGAAGCGUGAGUGACGGUAAUGGGUAAAGAAGCACCGGCUAACUACGUG